UACGUAGGGUGCAAGCGUUAAUCGGAAUUACUGGGCGUAAAGCGUGCGCAGGCGGCUUUGCAAGACAGAUGUGAAAUCCCCGGGCUCAACCCGGGAACUGCGUCCGAUACUGGAAGGCUUGAAUCCGGGAGAGGGAUGCGGAAUUCCAGGUGUAGCGGUGAAAUGCGUAGAUAUCUGGAGGAACACCGGUGGCGAAGGCGGCAUCCUGGACCGGCAUUGACGCUGAGGCGCGAAAGCCAGGGGAGCAAACGGG
rnacentral:rRNA from 2 species